GACGAACGCUGGCGGCGUGCUUAACACAUGCAAGUCGAGCGAUGAAGCACCUUCGGGUGUGAAUUAGCGGCGAACGGGUGAGGAACACGUGAGAAAUCUGCCUUCAACACUGGGAUAACUCCGGGAAACCGGGGCUAAUACCGGAUAUGAAACCUGCGGGCAUCCGCGGGUUUGGAAAGUUUUUCGGUUGAAGAUGAUCUCGCGGCCUACCAGCUUGUUGGUGAGGUAAUGGCACACCAAGGCGACCACGGGUAGCCGGCCUGAGAGGGCGACCGGCCACACGGGGACUGAGACACGGCCCAGACUCCUACGGGAGGCAGCAGUGGGGAAUAGUGGGCAAUGGAGGAAACUCUGACCCAGCGACGCCGCGUGCGGGAUGAAGGCCUUCGGGUUGUAAACCGCUUUCAGCAGGGAAGAAGCGAAAGUGACGGUACCUGCAGAAGAAGCACCGGCUAACUAUGUGCCAGCCGCCGCAGUAA
rnacentral:rRNA from 1 species